UUAAAUUAAAAACUCUUAAGAGCUGGUUCGCUCAGUGGAGGAGUGGACACUCCCACUUGUUUUAAUGAAUUAGUAUUUGUUCACUUAAUUAUUUAACAUUCAUUUGAGGGAAUUAAACUAUGUUUAAGCUGAUCUGCUUUCUUAUCCUUCAGUGUCCCUGGGUUUAGGAAGAAGUGCACUUAUUUUGACGUUGACAGGAAGUAGAAACUGAUGACAUCUGUUCAUGAGCCCGUCUUCCCUAGACAGAAUCCUAACAGAUGGAGACUGAUUCCAGCUGAGGCGAGAUGAGUGUUAAAUCCUCGCUGUAACACACGCUCGUGGUCGUGUGUGCGAGUCGUCAGUGAAGCGGUGUCUAUGGCGGGACUGUCGCAGUUAGUGCUGCGUGUGUCGGGCUCGUACGGUGUGUUCUCGAAAGGGCUCAGCAGAACUCUGCUCAUCUUCUUUGAUCUCGCCUGGAGACUCCGAAUCAGAUUCCCUUACCUCUAUGUUAUCGCCUCCAUGAUGUUUAACGUGCGACUACAGGUUCACAUUGAGAUACAUUGAUUGACACUGAAUAGCUGCUGCUUGUCACUUUUUGGACACAAGCCCAGUAAUGGCUCACAACACUAUGUUUACCACAGACUUCAUCAAUGAAGCUCAUCAGUUACCUAUAGUUGGGAUACAUACAGACAAAAACAUGCUGAUUGGGAUACCAGUGGGAAUUAUUCAUGCAAAAUCUGCUUCAUCAGUGGAGAUGACUAGGAAUGUAUGAUGAUACCUCAUGCUCAUCCGUUGGAUGUCACCGCAUGAAGGACGGAGUCCACCAUCCACCUCCAUCAUCUACUCACUGACACAGCGGCUACUGUUACAGAAAACUACAGGGAUUUGUAUAUACAGAUGAGUUUAUUUGUUUGUGUUUGUUAUUAUUAAAUCUGUGCAUUAAAUGGCACAUGCAUUUUGGGAGGAUUGUGAAUGUACUGUGAUUUAAACUUUGACAAUAAAUUAUAAAGAGAUUUUUUGCCUUGA